GUAGUCCACGCCCUAAACGAUGUCAACUAGUUGUUGGGGAUUCAUUUCUUCAGUAACGUAGCUAACGCGUGAAGUUGACCGCCUGGGGAGUACGGUCGCAAGAUUAAAACUCAAAGGAAUUGACGGGGACCCGCACAAGCGGUGGAUGAUGUGGAUUAAUUCGAUGCAACGCGAAAAACCUUACCUACCCUUGACAUGCCACUAACGAAGCAGAGAUGCAUUAGGUGCCCGAAAGGGAAAGUGGACACAGGUGCUGCAUGGCUGUCGUCAGCUCGUGUCGUAAGAUGUUGGGUUAAGUCCCGCAACGAGCGCAACCCUUGUCUUUAGUUGCUACGCAAGAGCACUCUAGAGAGACUGCCGGUGACAAACCGGAGGAAGGUGGGGAUGACGUCAAGUCCUCAUGGCCCUUAUGGGUAGGGCUUCACACGUCAUACAAUGGUGCGUACAGAGGGUUGCCAACCCGCGAGGGGGAGCUAAUCCCAGAAAACGCAUCGUAGUCCGGAUCGUAGUCUGCAACUCGACUACGUGAAGCUGGAAUCGCUAGUAAUCGCGGAUCAGCAUGCCGCGGUGAAUA
rnacentral:rRNA from 1 species